CCACUGGAUGACGAAGAGUUGGUUUCAUAUAUUCUUACUAUCCUCGACAUCGAGUUUAAUCCAAUUAUCUUAGCUAUUGUUGCAAGAGUAGAACCUAUCACGAUGACUAAACUAUAUGCACAACUCUUAAGCUUCGAGA